rnacentral:rRNA from 1 species
GUGGGGAAUAUUGGACAAUGGGCGCAAGCCUGAUCCAGCAAUGCCGCGUGCAGGAAGAAGGCCUUCGGGUUGUAAACUGCUUUUGUACGGAACGAAACGGUCCUGGUUAAUACCUGGGGCUAAUGACGGUACCGUAAGAAUAAGCACCGGCUAACUACGUGCCAGCAGCCGCGGUAAUACGUAGGGUGCGAGCGUUAAUCGGAAUUACUGGGCGUAAAGCGUGCGCAGGCGGUGCUGUAAGACAGGCGUGAAAUCCCCGGGCUCAACCUGGGAAUUGCGCUUGUGACUGCAGUGCUGGAGUACGGCAGAGGGGGAUGGAAUUCCGCGUGUAGCAGUGAAAUGCGUAGAUAUGCGGAGGAACACCGAUGGCGAAGGCAGUCCCCUGGGCCUGUACUGACGCUCAUGCACGAAAGCGUGGGGAGCAAACAGGAUUAGAAACCCGAGUAGUCC